UCUUGACUAGUAUAUCGGUUAGUACACGCGCUUGUCAAACUUGAAGCUGCGCGCGAAAGCUGGGUUGGACUCCCAGGUCGAGAG